rfam:Synechococcus sp. PCC 7502, complete genome.
GGGGGAGUGGCGGAAUGGUAGACGCUGCGGACUUAAAAUCCGUUGACCUUAUAAGUCGUGAGGGUUCAAGUCCCUCUUCCCCCA